AAUUGUGGGUACAGGAAGCACAAAUCCCUCCAAGUCAUAUAUUCAUCAGUGGCAGAGGCUUCGGAGACAGACAGCUCAUCUCCAUCAAGCCAUACAUAGCCUCCACACUGCCCCUGUGACGAUUCCAUCCCUGGGUCCUGGAGUGACUGAGGAUAGAGGUCAGCUGAUGUCACUGGAUGGAUAACUUUGUGUUUUCUGAUUGUUCAGUUUUCAUUUGUGGCAAGUGUUCUCUGGACAUUGAUGUGAGACCUUAAGAUCUACACACUUUGCACCAAACCCCGUGGGUCCAUUCAAUGGCCUCUUCCACAGGCAUCCUUGUCCUUGCUCUUACAAUAUGCCUCCUUUGAUGAUGCCUCUCACUUUCCAAAAUGUUUGCUUUUGGCCAGGAGUUUGUAUAUAUCCUUACCUCAGACCAUUUCUUCCUCUAUCCAAAGUUGAUGCUAAGAGUACUCCUCCAGACUCUGCCCACAGGGCCGGUUUCCCCUCGCCAGUGUGGUUCAGAGUUACCAGUGGACUUGUAGUUUCACAACUCUCCACUAUUGGUCUGAUACAGUAUUUCAAGCUCACCCUUCUGUGAAUAAGGUUCAGAGUGCUUUUCCUCUUUCUAUCAGAUAGCUGUAGGACACUCUCCCCUCCCCC
rnacentral:lncRNA from 1 species